ACAAUGGUCUAGUGGUUGGCCGUCGGUCUUCAAAGCCUGCGGUAGUGGGUUCGAGUCCCACUGGAGGUA